rnacentral:rRNA from 1 species
CCUACGGGUGGCAGCAGUGGGGAAUAUUGGACAAUGGGCGGAAGCCUGAUCCAGCGACGCCGCGUGAGGGAAGAAGGAUUUCGGCUCGUAAACUUCUAUCAGCAGGGACGAAAGAAAUGACGGUACCUGACUAAGAAGCCCCGGCUAACUACGUGCCAGCAGCCGCGGUAAUACGUAGGGGGCAAGCGUUAUCCGGAAUUACUGGGUGUAAAGGGUGAGUAGACGGCAUGGUAAGCCAGAUGUGAAAGCCUGGGGCUUAACCCGAGGAUUGCAUUGGGAAUUAUCAGGCGAGAGGACAGGAGGGUAAAGCGGAAUUCUUGGGGUAGCGGGGAAAGGGGUAGAUAUGAGGAAGAAAAC